ensembl:lncRNA
CGGAACUGUGAGAGCACAGAAGAAACAGCUAACUGCCCAGAAUGUGUGUGUAGACCUGAGAGUUAGGACAACUGCCUGGAAAGGACAUACAGAAUGGAUUAAAGAGAAAAAGACAAAGGAAAAGGUUAAAGUUUUCCCCAAAGCACCUGUAUCUUGAAUCUCACAGUCAAAACUAAGGAGAAUCACAGUGAUAUGGAAGGUAAACAAAAGAAAUCCAGCCAAGAUAAUAUAGGUCUUACCACCUAUAUGGCCAGGUUCCUAACUUACCCAUUUUGACAAGGAAAAUCUUAAGUAUUCUCUCUCCUAGGAAUAACGUUAAUACUCUGAAGAGUAUGGCUGGUGGUGAGAAAGCUUCAUUAAAAGCUGACCAUCAGAGAAGGCAAUGGCACCCCACUCCAGUACUCUUGCCUAGAAAAUCCAUGGACGGAGGAGCCUGGAGCCAAGAGAAGGCAUCAGACAGGAUUCCACCAGGCUCCCAUCAGCACCUCUGCGUAAUCUCCUUGCAUCUCCGCUGUUGCCAUGGACAGAGCAUCUUGCCUCAUCUUAUUGGAUAUGGUCUUUCAAGAAUCACCUUCUUCAGCAUCAAUAAUCAUUGAAAUAAAUGUAUAGAAAUUAACACACGUGCUAUGCAAAGUGGAGAAGGAAAUGGCAACCCACUCCAGUGUUCUUGCCUGGAGAAUCCCAGGGACGGGGGAGCCUGGUGGGCUGCCGCCUCUGGGGUCACACAGAGUCGGACACAACUGAAGCGACUGAGCAGCAGCAGCAGCUAUGGAAAGAAAAAGAGCCAUGAUAGAAAUAACAGGCAGGGUGGCCAGAACACCAUAUGAAAGGUGGUGGCACUAAAUUAAGCUGGAGAUGUAGACAGAGAGCCAAUGGCAGAGAGCUUUGCAUGGCAUGGUUAAGAAGAUCGAUUUUCUCCUCACUGUAGUGAGGAACCACUGCUGCAAGUGGCAUGGGCCAGUUUCCAUGGAAAGAGAUAAUUACAACAAUAUGGCCAGGUCUAUAAUUCAGCAGAAUAUUGUGAGGACACAGAGGAAAGGUGGCAGCUCUGUAAGUGGGGUUAGGAAGGCCUUAGAGAAAACAGCUGAUCUGACAAGUAAAGGAUCAAGUGGGAGUUCUCCUCAAAGAUGGCUAGCACUUAAAUAUAUUCUUUGCCUUUUCACACCAUGAAGGUGCUGUACUCACUGUAUAAACUCAUACUACACAAGCUUCCUUGGGCUGAAAUUCAGAUUUUUAUUUUGCUCAUGUACUUAAAGA